GCAGGCGGCGCCCUGCGGCUCCGCUGCGCGCAUGCGCAGGGGCCGCACCGCCUCAUCCUCCUUCCCGUCCCCCGCCCGGAAGCCUCCGGUUCCCCCGCGCGCCAUGUUCCCGGAGCUGAACGAGCUGCUGGACGCCUCCCCGGAGCGGCCGCAGCCGGGUAAAUUCACGCUGCUGCGAGACACCAGAACAGACGGCAGCUUCCUGGUGCAUCAUUUCCUCUCCUUCUACCUCAGAGGUACGGCAGCAGCAGGACUCUCCCAGCUGGCUGUAAGGUUUGCUUUGUGGCCCUGCUCCAGUCCUUCAGUCACUACAACAUCGUGGCACAGAAACUGCUGUUUGCUCUGCAACAUCAUGUUCUCCUCUCUCCAGGGGGUCAGUCUGGCAGCUGCCAAAGAGCGAGGACAGCUUGUCUUCUUGGAAGGCCUCAGGUCCUGCCUUGACCUCUUGUUUGGAGAAGAGGAGGAGCAGCCAGCACAGCCCAGUCCUCUCCAGUUUAUAAGUGGGAGCGCUUCUGACCUCAGAGCCUUGUUUGACUUCGUCCGGACGUCCCUGACCCCCUCCGACAGCGACUCCUGGAAGGGGCCUGUGCUGCUGGUGGACGACCUGAGCGUCCUGCUGGGCCUGGGCGCUGCGCCGGUGGCCGUGCUGGACUUCAUCCACUACUGCAGAGUCACCGUGUGCUCCCGGCUGCAGGUGCUGCUCCCUCUGCACGCGUGUCCUGUGAGCUGCGGGGGAACAUCGUGGUGCUGGUUCACAGCAACGAGGAUUCGGAAGACGAGGAAAACGAACUGGUCGUUAACGCCCUGUGUCAUCACAGUGACCUGAUCCUGUGGGCAGAGGGACUGGCCACUGGCUUCUGCAAGGAUGUUCAUGGGCAGAUUAAAAUAAUCAAGAGACUGUCCUUGGAGCUGACAGGGGAGCAGGAUCAAGUCCAGAUCUACCAGUAUAAGAUCCAGGACAAGAACGUCACCUUUUUCGCUAGAGGGCUGUCAGCUGCCGUCCUGUGAUCUGCGACACUGUGCAGCACCCUGAGAGCGACACGGAGCAAGGCUGGGGCAGCUGGUACCUCUCGGCUGGACGUGCCACCAAACCUUCCUGGCUGUGUCACCGGCGCUUUCCAGGAGCGGUGCAGCAAAAACUGACCCAGGAGGGAAGUUAAAACGUGUGUUGAGCUGCUUAAUGACAGGAUCACCUUCCUCAGAGCCUGUUGCAUCCCUUUGUCCUUGCAUCCUUUUCCCAAGGUACACGGGCCAAGAGGGAAGAGCAAAAACACUUGCCAGAAUGGCCCCUGGAGCAUGUAAAAACAAGCAGGGGGGAUGCCCUGUGGGCUGGGCGUGCCUCACCUGUUCUGGUGCGUUAUGGCACAGCGGUGCCAGGUGCUGCCAGGCGCAGGGAUCACCCCACCCUCCUGCUGGCGUUUCCCAGAUGACACAGAGCGGGUGGAGGCAGCAGGGAUGGUCUGGGAGUGUUGUGCAAUUCUUACCUUUCUCCCAGCUCUGGCGCUGGAGAGAUUUGCUCAACUCAGCUCCCACAGAACUAAAAAAUCUAUAGCUGCACGUCUAGUCUCUCACCUUGCUGGGGUAAGGCCUAAGAGCUGCCCUGCUUGCUUGGUCCCUUGCUUUGUUUUAUUUUCCCUCUUUUCAUGUGAAACCCUGGUGUGUGUCUGUUUAGUGGGUGGCUUCCUAAGCUAGUCCUUGGCUUUGGGUGAUGGACAUUUGUACACGAGGGCGACAGACAGACACUUGUACAUGAGCCUCUGUCUCAGCCACUGCUUCCCAACCGCAAAUCAUUACUGGCACUUCUAUGACCCGCCUGUAUUGAAGCAUUCCUGGGGGCUAAUAAUCCCUUAUUUUAAUUAGAGAAGGGUACAGUCAUGGAGUAACUGUGGCUGGUGGCUUUUGCCUGUUUCUUUCUGUGCCACUCAUUGCACCGGUGAGGGCUUGGACAGGCAGCACCUGGGAGAUGCCUCCUGGAGAAAGGGCAGUGAAACCUGUGGUGGUUUCUGGUUCGCGGUGAAGACCAAGCCCAGUGUUCCCUCCAUGCCUGCCUGACAUGCAGCGAUGGCAUCUGCUACCAAGGUGAGAAUGUCAGAGGCCAGUCUGGCAGCUCUGCUGAGCCAAGGCCACCCAGCACGGCCAUGACUGAACUGAGACCUUGGUCUGGAGCUGGUGCUGCGGGAAGGCAGCGCAGAAAGGGGAGAUUAGGAGCAAAGCGAUGGGUGGCAGAACAGGGUGGCCUUGGCAGGGUCAGCCAACAGCUGCAUGCUCGGGGGCGCUGCUACGUGCAGCUCUUUGUGAGCCAGAGCUUGUGCAACAUCUUAACCAAUAAAGCAGGUGGGACUUGG